UACGUAGGCAGCGAGCGUUGUCCGGAAUCACUGGGCGUAAAGGGCGCGUAGGCGGCUUGACAAGCGUGCGGUGAAAGCCCGGGGCUCAACCCCGGGUCGGCCGUGCGAACUGUCGAGCUGGAGCACUGUAGAGGCAGGUGGAAUUCCGGGUGUAGCGGUGGAAUGCGUAGAGAUCCGGAAGAACACCGGUGGCGAAGGCGGCCUGCUGGGCAGUGGCUGACGCUGAGGCGCGACAGCGUGGGGAGCAAACAGG
rnacentral:rRNA from 1 species